CCGCGUGCGGGGAAGAAGGCCUUCGGGUUGUAAACCGCUUUUAUUCGGGAAGAAGGAGUAAGGGUUAAUACCCCUUAUGACGGACGGUACUGGAUGAAUAAGCACCGGCUAACUACGUGCCAGCAGCCGCGGUAAUACGUAGGGUGCGAGCGUUAAUCGGAAUUACUGGGCGUAAAGCGUGCGCAGGCGGUUGGCAAAGUCAGCUGUGAAAGCCCCGGGCUUAACCUGGGAAUGGCGGUUGAAACUAGUCGACUAGAAUCUGGCAGAGGGGGGUGGAAUUCCACGUGUAGCAGUGAAAUGCGUAGAGAUGUGGAGGAACACCGAUGGCGAAGGCAGCCCCCUGGGCUGAGAUUGACGCUCAGGCACGAAAGCGUGGGGAGCAAACAGGAUUAGAUACCCUGGUAGUCCACGCCCUAAACGAUGUCAACUAGGUGUUGGGAGCGCAAGUUCUUGGUACCGCAGCUAACGCGUGAAGUUGACCGCCUGGGGAGUACGGUCGCAAGAUUAAAACUCAAAGGAAUUGACGGGGACCCGCACAAGCGGUGGAUGAUGUGGAUUAAUUCGAUGCAACGCGAAAAACCUUACCUACCCUUGACAUGUCCAGGAGUCGGCUGAAAGGUCGAUGUGCCCGAUAAGGGAAUUGGAACACAGGUGCUGCAUGGCUGUC
rnacentral:rRNA from 1 species